rnacentral:rRNA from 1 species
UACAUGUGGGGCAAGCGUUGUUCGGAAUUACUGGGCAUAAAGGGUGCGUAGGUGGUUUGUUAAGUCACUGGUGAAAGUUUGCGGCCCAACCGUAAAAUUGCCUGUGAUACUGGCGAACUUGAGUGCGUGAGGGAUGGGGGGAACGAGCAGUGUAGCGGUGAAAUGCGUAGAUAUUGCUCGGAAGGCCGGAGCCGAAGGGGCCCCAUUGGUACGUAACUGACGCUGAGGCACGAAAGCGUGGGGAGCGAACAGG